CCUACGGGUAGCAGCAGUGGGGAAUAUUGCACAAUGGGGGAAAGCCUGAUGCAGCAACGCCGCGUGAGUGAAGAAGUCCUUCGGGAUGGAAAGCUCUAUCAGCAGGGAAGAAAAUGACGGUACGUGAGUAAGAAGCCCCGGCCAACUACGUGCAAGAAGCGGCGGCAAUACGUAGGGGGCAAGCGUUAUCCGGAUGUACGGGGGGUAAAGGGGGCGUAGACGGCGACGCAAGUCCGAAGUUAAAUGCCAGUGCCCAACACCGGAACUGCGUUUGAAACGGUGUGGCUGGAGUGCGGGAGAGGUAUGCGGAAUUCGUGGUGUAGCGGUGAAAUGCGUAGAUAUUAGGAAGAACACCGGUUGCGAAGGCGGCUUACUGGAGUGUAACUGACGUUGAGGCUCGAAGGCGUGGGUAGCGAACAGGAUUAGAUACCCGUGUAGUC
rnacentral:rRNA from 1 species